GAAAUAAUGAAGAGCCGUGAAACGCAAGAAGACCCUCUUCAACAAGAAAGUCGACAUCUUCACCAAAUCUUGAUAUCGAAGAUAUUCAAAUCACAUAAAUUCUUUCAAAACCUUGUGUUGUGUUCGUUUCUUAUCGGUUUCGGAUUCGGACUCGGCUUCAUACUCAACUUCCACAUAAGAAACGUCUCAUUCAGUCCCCAACUCUUUCGUCUAUCUUCUCUUGCCUCCUCCUCUUCUCUCUCUCCACCGCUUCAACCGCCGCCAACAUAGCCAGGAAAUUGCGUUUUUAGAAAAGAAACUGUUGCGACUGAUGACGACGAUGAUGGGCAAAAGAAUCAUUCUCUGGUGGAGCCGGAGAACGUGAUGCAUAACAUGUCGGAGGAGGAACUCUACCCUGUGUAUCUACAAAAGGCGAUUGGAUAUACUGCAGCGGUGAAGACAGGAAAUUGUACUGCUUCAGCUAUCAAACCGGUGGACUUGAGCAUUUUAUGAUGGUGCAUGAGAAAGAUGUGAUAGGCGUAACACACCACCCACAUAGAAACCUUGUCGCAACCUAUAGUGAAGAUUGCACCAUGAAGUUGUGGAAGCCCUGAGAGUUGCCUUAUCAUCAAGCCUUACUUUUUGUAUGAUUAAAUCUCCCGACUUUGUUUGAUUUUGCUAUUGAAAAAGGCAUCGCGACUCUUGGUGCUCGGGUUAGAAGUUAGAACUAGUGU